UGCUAGGGGUGCCUUUGGGGCUGAGAGAUGUCUUGACAUCGACCCUUAUUACUUGAACCGGGUAAUACCGGCGUAAGGAAGCUUAGUUU
rnacentral:ncRNA from 1 species